CGGUAAUACGGAGGGUGCAAGCGUUAAUCGGAAUUACUGGGCGUAAAGCGCACGCAGGCGGUUUGUUAAGUCWGAUGUGAAAUCCCCGAGCUUAACUUGGGAACUGCAUUUGAAACUGGCAAGCUAGAGUCUUGUAGAGGGGGGUAGAAUUCCMGGUGUAGCGGUGAAAUGCGUAGAGAUCUGGAGGAAUACCGGUGGCGAAGGCGGCCCCCUGGACAAASACUGACGCUCAGGUGCGAAAGCGUGGGGAGCAAACAGGAUUA
rnacentral:rRNA from 1 species